CAGCAGCCGCGGUAAUACGAAGGGUGCAAGCGUUAAUCGGAAUUACUGGGCGUAAAGGGUGCGUAGGCGGUUGUUUAAGUCUGUUGUGAAAUCCCCGGGCUCAACCUGGGAAUGGCAAUGGAAACUGGACGGCUAGAGUGUGUCAGAGGAUGGUGGAAUUUCCGGUGUAGCAGUGAAAUGCGUAGAGAUCGGAAGGAGCAUCUGUGGCGAAGGCGACUAUCUGGGCCAACACUGACACUGAGGCACGAAAGCGUGGGGAGCAAACAGGAUUAGAUACCCCUGUAGUCCCUGUCUCUUAUAA
rnacentral:rRNA from 1 species